AAUCGGAUCCUUCUUUACAGAGGGUCCCCCUUUUUUUCUGUAUUUUUUUUUUAUCUUUUGUCUUCUUAUACUAAUCUGAGUAGUGGCGCUUUUGUCUCCCAACGACAGUGCCCUGCCGAAGCUCUCCUCCUACCACAGGGGAUUCCUCUGAAGUCGAUGAUCCGAGAUCUCAGAAGGGAAGUUCGUCAGUUGACGAAGAAAUCCAAGAAGCUGGAAAAUGAACUUCACCGGU
rnacentral:lncRNA from 1 species